ensembl:lncRNA
CAGGACUCAUAGUGUGUAUUUUGAAGGGAAAUGGAUGCUAAGAACAGAUAAGCCUCUCUCAUAUUUGAAACUGACCAGAAAACACAUUUAUAAAGCCAGGGAAACUUCACUCCAAAUAUAAAUGCGUGUAACAGAUAUUUGUACUCAUUUCCCAUUAUCUUGUACAUUUCUGGCUUCUUUUCACAUGGUAACCUAAAACCUCUUUUUAUGUGGGUGGUGGCAGUAUGAUUACCGGGGAGUGGUUAACAUCUCGGUCCCGGGGGACAGGGCUGAAGAGCUGACAUUGAUGUCUUACUCAGAUGGAGCCUCAGCUGCUACUCUCUGCCAUCAGAUCCUAAUGGCUUUAUUUAAAAUUCAAAGGGGAGACACUCUGCAAUAUGACUCUCUUCUCUCAUUCAGCCACUCUCAUUUUCUUUCUUUCAAUACAACAGGGAAAAGGUUGUGCAUGAAUCUUCUAUUUGAAAGUUAAUGUGAAGUAAGAGUUGUGAUAGUUUUGUAUUCUCCAAUAAUUUUUAUUUAUUUAUUUUUUGACAUUUUGACUUUUUUUUUAAUUAGUUUCUGUGUUAAAAAAAUCUGAUUAUUAUUUUUUAAAUGAUUAGCUUUUAUUUUUGUCUAGAGGGCUUAUGUCAGAUUUAUGAAAAUCAGUACAGGUGUUAUAAUAAAAACACAGAACUUUUUGAAAGCAGUUGACUCACAGACUUGUAGACAUCCAAAGUCUCAAUAAACAUGUGCAUCAAUGCCUCAUUGGGCAUUAUUAGUUGUAAUAACACGGUGACCAAACCAACAAGUACUAAAACUAAAGAUAUUUUCUUUAUAUUUUAUUUUAUUUUUAAAAGCCUUUUUUACGUUUUAGUUUAGUUAACAAAACUGCCUUUUUCACCAGGUUACUAUAGUUAACUAAAAAGCAUUUUAGUUAGGUCCCAACUUCAAUGAGUGACUGAUUGCUUCCUAAAACUACAGAAAACCAGUGCGUGAAAAGGCUGUGUCCUUGCAGGCUGUUUAGAGAACAAAUAUGCAGAUAGGGCAAUAGGAUGAACAUAUAUAUCAUUAUUUAGUUAUUAAUCAGGAUUAACACUUAAUCAGGAUUGGGUAUAUUACAAAAAUAGUGUCUGACCCAAACAUUGCUUUU